rnacentral:rRNA from 1 species
GGUGUUGAAUAAGAUUUUAAUUGAAUGCUAAGAGAAUGGAAGUCCAGAAAAAAACUUUUUUUAAAUUAAAAAUUGAAGUUUUUUUAAUUUGUGCAGAAACAAUUAUUUAUAUUAAAGACAAGAAGACCCUAUGAAUUUAUUAAAUUUUUAUUUAAUAUGUAAUUACUAUUAGAAAAAUUUUGGCUGGGGCGGCUAGAAAAUAUUAUGAACUUUUUAAAAAUAAAAUGAUCCAUUAUUAAUGAUUUUAUGUUAAAUACUCUAGGGAUAACAGCGUUAUAUUUUUUGAUAGAUCAUAUUGACAAAAAAGUUUGCGACCUCGAUGUUGGAUUAGGAUACUUUUUUAAUGAAGAUAUUAAAAAAAGAAGUUUGUUCAACUUUUAAUUUCCUACUUGAUCUGAGUUCAGACCGGA